AUUCAGGGACAACCAUCAGAGCCAAGGCUUCCUGAAUGACCCAUAUGGGCCGGUCACCUUUCUAAGAACAUUCCAUGCAUCUUUAACUUUAUUCUCACAAACCUUCUACAGGCAGGUGCUGUUAUAAUCCCAGCUAGCAAGUGGGCAUAGGCAGCCUGUGGGGUGAGCUGAGCCCUUCACCCCUGGGACAUGCUGUCCUCUGGGUACCGUGAGGCAGACUGGAAAAGUGCUACAGCAGACAGCUGACACCCUGGAGCGACGCGGGACCAGUGGAUUAUUUGAGGACUGCUGUGGAUUGAAUUGUGUCCCCAUCUCCACACCUCCAAAUCCACAUAUGAAGCCCCAGUGCCCAGCCUGGUUGCACUGGGAGU
rnacentral:lncRNA from 1 species